AGACCGAUAGCGAACAAGUAGAGUGAUCGAAAGAUGAAAAGCACUUUGAAAAGAGGGUUAAAAAGUACGUGAAAUUGUUGAAAGGGAAGCGUUCAUGACCAGACUUGGGCAGGUUGAUCAUCCGUGGUUCUCCGCGGUGCACUCUGCCUGCCCAGGCCAGCAUCAGUUCGCCCCGGGGGAUAAAGGCUUUGGGAAUGUGGCUCCCUCGGGAGUGUUAUAGCCCACUGUGUAAUACCCUGGGGUGGACUGAGGUUCGCGCUCUGCAAGGAUGCUGGCGUAAUGGUCAUCAACGACCCGUCUUGAAACACGGACCAAG
rnacentral:rRNA from 2 species